CUCAGCUCUUUAACCCACGAUUUUCUCUCAAGCUCUCUCAGCUCUCUCAGCUUACGGUGGCUCUUUCUUUCUCUCAUGACUUCUUCACUCUUGGACUAUCUUUCACUCUUCUCCCACACGCCUAGCAUUCUCUCACAAAGACAACUCCAAGGCGUCUUGCGGAUAGGAAGGUGGAGAGGUUCGAUAAGAACAUUAUGAAGAGAGGAGCUGUGCCUGAAACAACUGCGAAGAAGGGAAAAGACUACCCCGUUGGUCCUGUUCUUCACUGUGACAGUGGCAAUUCAAAAAUUGGCUGUACUGCCAAUGCUCACAAUCUCUUGAGCUUGCCUUCAUUAUUGCUGAGCGCCUAAGAAGGAGGAGGAUUACAUCACAGCAAGCUCUUGCCCUCUAGGCUUCUACAGUGAGGCUUUAAGAGCCCACCAAUAUGCUCUUUUUCUUACGUUAAUAGCAGUUAUAUUAGCAUUAGCACUAUCAGAUUUUCAGUUAUUUAUGUUGUGUAUUGUGUGUAUACUAAAAGGAAGAGUUAUGGUUUGAGACACUAUGAAAACACACUGGAAUAAAUGGAUAACAAUUUAUUUAUUCCAUAAGAAUAUAAGAUAUGAUUGCAUUUUAUUCUU